rnacentral:rRNA from 1 species
GAUGAACGCUAGCGGCAGGCUUAAUACAUGCAAGUCGAGGGACAGCACAGGUAGCAAUACUGGGUGGUAACCGGCAAACGGGUGCGGAACACGUACACAACCUUCCUUUAAGUGGGGGAUAGCCCAGAGAAAUUUGGAUUAAUACCCCGUAAUAUAGUUGAAUGGCAUCAUUUGAUUAUUAUAGCUACGGCGCUUAAUGAUGGGUGUGCGGCUGAUUAGAUAGUUGGCGGGGUAACGGCCAACCAAGUCUACGAUCAGUAGCUGAUGUGAGAGCAUGAUCAGCCACACGGGCACUGAGACACGGGCCCGACUCCUACGGGAGGCAGCAGUAAGGAAUAUUGGUCAAUGGACGCAAGUCUGAACCAGCCAUGCCGCGUGAAGGAUUAAGGUCCUCUGGAUUGUAAACUUCUUUUAUUUGGGACGAAAAAGGGCCUUUCUAGGUCAACUGACGGUACCAGAUGACUAAGCACCGGCUAACUCCGUGCCAGCCGCCGCCGUAAUAC